rnacentral:rRNA from 1 species
AGAGUUUGAUCAUGGCUCAGGACGAACGCUGGCGGCGUGCCUAAUACAUGCAAGUCGAACGAACUCUGGUAUUGAUUGGUGCUUGCAUCAUGAUUUACAUUUGAGUGAGUGGCGAACUGGUGAGUAACACGUGGGAAACCUGCCCAGAAGCGGGGGAUAACACCUGGAAACAGAUGCUAAUACCGCAUAACAACUUGGACCGCAUGGUCCGAGCUUGAAAGAUGGCUUCGGCUAUCACUUUUGGAUGGUCCCGCGGCGUAUUAGCUAGAUGGUGGGGUAACGGCUCACCAUGGCAAUGAUACGUAGCCGACCUGAGAGGGUAAUCGGCCACAUUGGGACUGAGACACGGCCCAAACUCCUACGGGAGGCAGCAGUAGGGAAUCUUCCACAAUGGACGAAAGUCUGAUGGAGCAACGCCGCGUGAGUGAAGAAGGGUUUCGGCUCGUAAAACUCUGUUGUUAAAGAAGAACAUAUCUGAGAGUAACUGUUCAGGUAUUGACGGUAUUUAACCAGAAAGCCACGGCUAACUACGUGCCAGCAGCCGCGGUAAUACGUAGGUGGCAAGCGUUGUCCGGAUUUAUUGGGCGUAAAGCGAGCGCAGGCGGUUUUUUAAGUCUGAUGUGAAAGCCUUCGGCUCAACCGAAGAAGUGCAUCGGAAACUGGGAAACUUGAGUGCAGAAGAGGACAGUGGAACUCCAUGUGUAGCGGUGAAAUGCGUAGAUAUAUGGAAGAACACCAGUGGCGAAGGCGGCUGUCUGGUCUGUAACUGACGCUGAGGCUCGAAAGUAUGGGUAGCAAACAGGAUUAGAUACCCUGGUAGUCCAUACCGUAAACGAUGAAUGCUAAGUGUUGGAGGGUUUCCGCCCUUCAGUGCUGCAGCUAACGCAUUAAGCAUUCCGCCUGGGGAGUACGGCCGCAAGGCUGAAACUCAAAGGAAUUGACGGGGGCCCGCACAAGCGGUGGAGCAUGUGGUUUAAUUCGAAGCUACGCGAAGAACCUUACCAGGUCUUGACAUACUAUGCAAAUCUAAGAGAUUAGACGUUCCCUUCGGGGACAUGGAUACAGGUGGUGCAUGGUUGUCGUCAGCUCGUGUCGUGAGAUGUUGGGUUAAGUCCCGCAACGAGCGCAACCCUUAUUAUCAGUUGCCAGCAUUAAGUUGGGCACUCUGGUGAGACUGCCGGUGACAAACCGGAGGAAGGUGGGGAUGACGUCAAAUCAUCAUGCCCCUUAUGACCUGGGCUACACACGUGCUACAAUGGAUGGUACAACGAGUUGCGAACUCGCGAGAGUAAGCUAAUCUCUUAAAGCCAUUCUCAGUUCGGAUUGUAGGCUGCAACUCGCCUACAUGAAGUCGGAAUCGCUAGUAAUCGCGGAUCAGCAUGCCGCGGUGAAUACGUUCCCGGGCCUUGUACACACCGCCCGUCACACCAUGAGAGUUUGUAACACCCAAAGCCGGUGAGAUAACCUUCGGGAGUCAGCCGUCUAAGGUGGGACAGAUGAUUAGGGUGAAGUCGUAACAAGGUAACC